AAAUGACUCUCGGCAACGGAUAUCUUGGCUCUCGCAUCGAUGAAGAACGUAGCGAAAUGCGAUACUUGGUGUGAAUUGCAGAAUCCCGUGAACCAUCGAGUCUUUGAACGCAAGUUGCGCCCGAAGCCAUUAGGUUGAGGGCACGCCUGCCUGGGCGU
rnacentral:rRNA from 2 species